GACGAACGCUGGCGGCGUGCUUAACACAUGCAAGUCGAACGGAAAGGCCCUGCUUUUGUGGGGUGCUCGAGUGGCGAACGGGUGAGUAACACGUGAGUAACCUGCCCUUGACUUUGGGAUAACUUCAGGAAACUGGGGCUAAUACCGGAUAGGAGCUCCUGCUGCAUGGUGGGGGUUGGAAAGUUUCGGCGGUUGGGGAUGGACUCGCGGCUUAUCAGCUUGUUGGUGGGGUAGUGGCUUACCAAGGCUUUGACGGGUAGCCGGCCUGAGAGGGUGACCGGCCACAUUGGGACUGAGAUACGGCCCAGACUCCUACGGGAGGCAGCGGUGGGGAAUAUUGCACAAUGGGCGGAAGCCUGAUGCAGCAACGCCGCGUGCGGGAUGACGGCCUUCGGGGUGUAAACCGCAUUCGCCUGUGACGAAGCGUGAGUGACGGUAAUGGGUAAAGAAGCACCGGCUAACUACGUG
rnacentral:rRNA from 1 species